CCGCCCCUCCUCACCUCGGUAUUGGAGACGUCAGGAUGGCGGCGGGGAGCUCUUCGGGCCUCGCGCACUGCGCCAGCGCGCAGUACAGAGCCAAAAGUCAACUCAUCAACUUUGGAGCAUAAGUAAAUUCCUAAUAGAGACUUUUUUUCCUUAAACAUAUUCAUGUUUCUGAAUUUUUAAUAGUUCUGUUAUACUUUGUCUUUUGUCUGGAUCUACCAACAUGUAUACUUAGAUUUAUCAGAACAAAUACAUCAAAUUUAAAAGCAUUUUCAAAUAUUUUUUAAAAUUUUUUCACAAGUGUAAUUGGUGUUCUUUUGUGUGGUAAUAGAGGUAGGGGGACGAAGACCAUUGAUCUGGAUAAAUAAGUUAGUAGCCCUGGCAAAAUAAGGAAAACAUGUAGAAAGGGCAAUUGUAAACCUGUAUUCAUUCUCUUUAUCUUAUAUUAGUAAAUCGAAAGUUUCUGAAACUUCAAAUCAAGGAUUGCAGCUGGCCCUGUAAGGGCCAGACCUGUACAUAAAUGAAUCAAGUCUAAGAUGGUAGAGAGUGUAUGGCAGUGGGGGGAGACCAAGACAGAGCUUGCACCCCACCACACACACCCCACCUGUUGCUGACACGGGUCAGAACCCAGUGUGGAGAGUCUUCCCAUUUCCGCAGAGAAUGCACAUCCCUCUUUCUAUGUGCAAGUCUCCAAGUUUUAAGUACCAGCACCCAAUUCAGACUAUGGUCAAAUGACACCUGCCUCCACUUAUGAUCUUCGCUUUAUGUUUUAAAAAGUUUAUUCAUGAAAGGAAACUGCAGAAGAUAUUAUAGAUACCUUUGAUAAUUAAAAGGUAUAGUACAUAUCCCAUCUUCAUUUUGACUGGUUUUAGUCGAUUAAGAUGGUUCUGGGGUUUUAUUGUGUUAAUACCAGUUUUUGUUUUCAUCACUGAGACAGCUUAAUCAUCAAAGCCAAGUAAUGCUGCCUAAUUCAGAACAAAAUUAGGAAACUGACAAAUCACAGAGAGUUCUUGUUUGUUUGUUUUGCAUGUCUUUUUCUAUGUCUAUAAUGCCUUAAAUUUGAAGUGUGCUAUUUAUUCACAGAGUGUUUAGAAUCUUGGUAGGAAAAGGUUUUGGUAUUGCCCAAUGUCUAAUUGGUUGGUAAUUGUUUUCUUUUUCUGUCUCUUAUACCAGGGUAUCUGGCAGAUACCUUGGUAUAAGGUAUAGGUUCUCUGCCUAUCCUUUUUAUUAGACUUAUGUUAUAUGUUAAUUUUAAGGUCACCGUGUUUCUUUUAGCUGUAAACUUCAUUUGUAAAUUGUUGGGGGAACUGGACUUUUUUUUUUUUGGUAGAUAUUUUGCUUUGGCAGGUUUUUUUCCCCUAAAGGUAAGUUGCAUUUGUUGUACAUCAUUGUCCAUUUGCCUUUUAAAAUUAAUGUAUCCCCCCCAAAUUAAUUAAAUUAAUAUAUUCCAAGAUCCUCAUUUGACACUGUUGAUUAAAAAUUGAGAAUUGCUUCAA